ensembl:lncRNA
AUAAGAUAAACUAUGAUAAUGUUUGUAUGGCUCUUCAUCAUAUAUUAAAGACAGUCUUGUUGAAAAGAGACAGAAGCCGGUAUCACUGAAACCAGAAGCCUUAAAGAGGUUAGGAAACACGCCUUCCCUGGCUCUAACCUUUAAUUAAUUUGGGGCUGAAAACUAAGCACCUAGUAUUUCACUUCUGAGCAGCUUGUGCUUCAGGAAACGGUGGAUGGGGGAUUAAAUUGCUGCGCACAGGGGAUCAGAUUGGUAUCAGGGUGCUUCCUGCCUGUAUUAGACAUCAAAGAGGGCUGCUGGGUGACCAGUAUCACCAUUUGUGGCCAGACUUUGUUCAAACUUCCCAGUCUGUUCUAUGGCACACAUUUAAAAGUCUACAUUUAAUUAUUUUUUCGACACAACUUUUUCCUUAAAAUGACCAUUUGUAACCUUUAGCUUUUAAAUUGGGUUUUUCUCUUUUGCACCCACACAAACGUUUUAAAAACAGACAAAAGUUUCAAUGAAUGGAAGUAAAUGGAAGACGCCUUAAAUAUGAAUACAUCUCUUUUCGGGUCACUGUGGAGACCUGCAAGAUAAACAACGCUGAAUUCCUGAAACGUGCUGGCUGGUAAAGAAAAAGUGGGAAUGUGUUGGAGGGACUUCUGAAGAAUUUGAAAUAAUAGUAUCCUUUUUCUUAAUCCGACAAUUAAUGGGAUCUCCUGUACUUAUUGAUAAUUUAUUCCUCCUUCCACCAACAAUAAGCGAAAACAGUAAUGAGAAAAUAAUGUAGACAUUUGGUGCGCAGCAGGAAGCCCCACCCCUCAUUUAACCCGUGAUAACAUUUUUAUCUAUGAAGCAGAAGGUGGUGGACAAACGGUAACAACACGCCCUCCAGUCAACCAGAAAGGUGUGGAUGUACUUUACAAAGUACUGCAUGUAGUGCUUUAGCAGUAGUACUACACAUUAAAAAAGAAAAGGACAACAAUAGACAGAAUGUGGAGGAGGAAGGAUUAUCAAAUCGACUGUUGAAAGUCUGGGGACUUACAUGACUUUCAUCUGACAAAAAGUACUUUUUCAUCUGGCUGACAUACAGUAGUGACAUGUACAAAGCUCUGAGCUACGUACAUCACAUCUGAUGUGAGCUAUCUAAACAAUAAAACCACUAGUUGGGGAUGCAACAUAUUCCACAUGGGGAUUACAAUAACCGCAAUCUGUGAUUUGGAUUCAGACCAAACGUUUUUGAAUCCUGUACCGAUUGUUGAUGAAACCAACAUAAAACAAGGUUUUAGUAACACAAAUACAGUCAAAAAUUGGACAUCAUUUCUCAUCAAAUUCAAAGAGAAAGUGUGUCUGGUACGGUACAUCAAAACAUCUCCACUGCAGAGCUUCUGCUCACAAUUACAAUUACAAAGUAACCUGGAUUUAAAUCCACCUCUGUAAUUUAAGUAACGUACUUAGGGCCAAUACCAUAUGAUAAAUCAAUCUUUUUUUCACGGCGCCACUGUGUUGGCAUACAUUGGAAUGAAUGGGGCUGCUGAAAGCUGUCUGAAUAACAAUUUAGGGCCCAAGCAUCUAAUGAUCUAACGAUUAUUAUUAGGACCGAGAGCCCUAUCACACCGUGUUCUGAAAGAUUAUUGUUCACCACUACAAUUGCACAUUUGAGAACUUUGGCAGGUUCAAAAACUCUAAAUUUGGCUUGCACAUCUGAACUGUGAAGAAUUUUGAUAGAGUCGGAGUUGCGUAUUAGGGUAUCAAGAAAUGGCUCUAUGUCGCCCCCCAAAUAAUUUGGCACUUUUGCCCAUUAGCAACGAUGGUUUUCGCAGACUUCUCCCAGAAGCUGAGUCUGAUUCUCACAAAACUUCAUGGUUCAAUGGCAUUUAAAGUUAUCAGAGGCCUGUUGAUAUCUCAUUGGGGUUAGAGGUUUUGGACCUAUGAACUUCUGAGGGGUGUGGCCUAAUCUGAAAGACGCAAAACUUCCAAAUGACUUUUCUUGUCCUCACCAAAUCUGUAGCAUAUGUCAACAUGACACGAGUUGGGAGGGGGAAUGUUUUGUUCGAGGACAUAUACACAAAAUAAGAGAAAAUGUAGAAAUAAAUAUUUAUAAAACAAUACAUUUAUAAAUAAAUAAUAACCAGACAGCUAAAACUUUAACUGGACAAGAUCCAAUAAAGGAACUUUUACUCAAACGUUUUCACACACAAUACACAUUUAGGGACACUACAUAACCAACCUACCGUGUUGAAGACUUUACACAGGCAGCUGAUUCCCACAGGCCUCAGUAAAGUCCACUAGUUAGAGGGGGAUCCCCUGUCCAUGAAGACAUGUGUGGUCCCUCCAUCAUCCUUUUCUCCCUCCCCCUCCAUGGCACUGUUUCACUGGCUGAGGCUCCCCUCCAACAAUCAGGGCCUUCAUGGGGGCCAUAAUGACAAAAUGAAAGCCAGUUGUGAGUCUGUGGAGGUUUUAAUGACUUUCAGAGCUGCUGUGGAAAUUCUGGGCUCAGUCCAAACACUCACUGCCGUGCUGAGAGACAAAGAAACUCAUAGGAGCAUUGCAGGGUUGAUGCUGAGGUUUUUCUUGCAGCAGAACUUUUCUAGUGUCUGUUUAUGUUGUCAUUAUUCAUGGUUUUAUUGGAAAUGGAGAGUGUGAUGAAGAAAGGUAGUACAGAACAGUUGUGCACAAAAAACUUUUUUUUAAAGCCAGAGAUGUGAUCAAAACGGAUGGCUAAGAUACAUUGGCAAUAUCGAAGCAAAAAGAUUGCAAGAUCAAUUGCUCAUAUUUGUUAUUGACUUUGUGUUGAGGCACACAAACGACAGGAGCGUCCUGCCAAUGGACUGGAAGAUGAAGCUGUGAUCUGUUUUUUUGGACCAGCCCUGCUGCUGGAAAACAGGAAAAUGUUGUAGAUAUUUUUAUUCAGCUAGCAGUUUAAAGUCAGAUUUAAAUUUAAAACAAACAGUGGGGCAUCUCAAUUUUUUACCAUUGGAUGACAAAAUUUAUUAUGGCCAUUCGUGAGAUAAGUGCUGUGCAGCCAUUGAUUAAUGCAUUCUUUCCUUUAACAUCAAUGUUCUUGGAAAGAAGAAGACAUUUUUAGUAGUAUAUUACACAUACAAGAAAUUGUUCCCAUUGGUCCCACGGAGUGGGAGCAGUGGGCUGCCGUAAGGGUGCCCAGCGAGCAGUUAGGGGUUAGGUGUCGUGCUCAGGGACACUUCAACACGGGACAUGGGGCAGCCAGGAUUCGAGCCAACCUUGCGGUUCCUGGCGCACCCACUCUACUCCAUGCGCCACGGUCGCCCUCUAAAAGAGGUGCUUCCAAACAUUUAAUAUUACAAUUCAAUGUGAGUUUUAGUCCGAAAUAUGUAUAGGCUCCGAAAACAUUGGAUCCAAUAUUUUCCACAAUGCAAUUAGCUACAUGCAUUAACUACAUGCACCAAGUUAGAUGCUGUUGGAGUGGAACAGAUUCUAGCAGGCCUACCCAUCUCAGCCAUGGAGAGACAUGGUAGCAGAGAGAGGGAAAGAGGCUCAACGAGACUGGGGUUCGAUAGUGUCACCAUUCAGAUCAAAUAUCAAACAAGGCAAAGCCAGCUCUCCCCUCUAGGCCGGCUGGAAUAAGUGCGCUGAAGUGAAAUGGUUUUUUUUAGCUCUAGGAGUUCAGGUUGGGAGGUCAGGUGUAGCCUAACAAAUACAUGUGCUAAUGUUUUGGUAUUUUACUGCGUUCACACGCAGCUUUGUGCAUUGACUGGGUUUGUUGGACAGCAUAGAAUUGAGAACUAAUCUUGUACAAGUUAACCUGAUUUCUGUACCUUUACACUGAAAAAAGACCUCUUCAAAGUCAACGAAUAGAAGGAUGAACAGAGAGAUGUGCAGAAAAGGGCCUGAGGCGAUUUGGAGUCACCAAUUAACCUGAUCCCCAAAGCAUGUCGUUAGACUGUGGGAGGAAGCCACAGUACCCGGACAGAACCCAGGCAGACAUGGGAUGAACAUGUAGCCUCCUAAAGGCCGCUAGGUGGAGUCAAACCCAGGAUCGUCUUGCUGAGAGGCGACAGCGCUAACCACCACACCACCUGCCGCUCCUGAGCUACUUCCAUCAUUCUAGGUAUAUUUGAAUGGGUAAGUAACACAAAUACAUUUUUGUUAAAUUACAUGGAUACUGAUAAUAAUAGCUGUAGUGUAUGUAGUAGAAUAACAAUAAAAGUGGCAACAUACGUAUAUAUGGAGCCUUUAUUUUAGAUAAUAAAUGAUUCAAUCGUCUUGAUAGAAACUGUUCAGUUUUAAAAAGAAAAGAAAAGCCUCUUUGAAUAGCAUGGUGUUUGAUGUGGGCCUUUUCCCCCUCAUGACAUGUUUGAAACAUUUUCUCUUGAGCUCUGACCUAUGCAGAGCAUCCAUAACCUCUUUAUAAAGAAUUUUAGUUAUAUCUUUAAGCAAGGCAUUGGAGCUAGCAUGGUACCAUGUCUUUCCAGGAUUAAAGGUGGGGUGUUCAUAUUUUCUCACUGGUUUGAGAUAGGUUCAAAAAUUUGAAACAAUUGAGUGAUCAUUGACCCGACCAAUCGGCGUUUUGAAGAAGAAAUCAUACAUUCUCCUUUUCAUAAAUAGCCACUUGCAUCUUAGCAUAGAAAUCGUGUCACGAGAUGUGCUCUGUAGCCCAAAAAUAAAAAGUUGGAGAAGUCCCCCGUCAAAAGGUUUCUACAAUUUGCCCAUGAACAGUCUGAGACGUGGGAAUAAAGAAUCCCAUAGUGACAAACCUUCUGUCUGUUAUUCUAAACCUGUAUUAAAGGCAUUCCUCCGCUGACAGCGUGCUAUGCUGUCUGUGCAUGAAAGACUUUUAGGAGUGCCUUAUCACAGCGUUAAAAGUGUCUUUGUUUAGAGAACCUGCCUCGUAAAUUUGUCCCGCCCUUGUUGUCCAAAAUGGUCCUGAACCUGUUUUCACUGACACCUUGUUUGCUCCAGCAGCUUAAAGUAACCAUUCCCACAUGUCAGAGUUAAAGUUUAGUAGGCACAGUCCUCUAAUGUGCCUGUAUGGGCAGGAAUGAACUAGCCAACAAGUUGCCUGUCUGCUACAGUGAGGGAACGCUUGAUGGGAGGGGAUAUCACAUUCCUUGUCGUUUUCACACACAGACGGAACAAGCACAAGAGGAAUGAAUGCUAUCUUAUCAGAGCGUGCACUCGAGGUGAUGCAUAGGCUGUGUUACACCAUGUGUGUCUGCAAUGACUCCUUUGUUUUCAUCUGCUUGCCGUUUGGGUCAGCAGGUUAAUGCUGCUGGGCUGUUGCUUUGAACAUGUGGAAUCUUCUGUUUAACCGUCGAACCUCAGGUUUCACCUGGCCGAAGAAGUCUGCCAGCUUGUUCCUCGGAGAUCAGCUGUGCAACUCAUCAGCUCCUGUGUCGAGCCUGCCUGCCUGCCUGCCUGUCUGCCUUCUAGCCGCGGAAGCCCCAAGUCCACCUUCCGGGUAGAACCAGAGCAGAGCACACGGGAUUGCAUACAUCGUCACGUGACUGUUUCCUGCUGGCUUUUCUGGAACUCUCAACAUGACUUUUCAUGUUUGAUUCCUGUUACCUUUCCU